UCCGCAUAUCCUCCCAACAUCUCUGCCCUCCUUGCAUCCAACAUCAUCAAGGCCCUCCAAGGCCUUCUCGCAUCAACAGUUGAACAUCUGUGGAUCGACAAGUCAUUAGCCAUAUUACUAAACCUUGCUUCGAGCCAACAGGGCAAAGAUGAGGCGGUGUCAUCACAAGGCAUGAUCAGCAGUCUAGCAACAGUGCUUGACAUGGGUGACACAACACAGCAAGAGCAAGCUGUUUCAUGUCUUUUGAUUCUAUGCAACGGAAGAGAGUCUUGUAUCCAGAUGGUGCUGCAAGAAGGUGUGAUACCAUCACUAGUGUCAAUCUCAGUGAACGGGACUACACGAGGCAGAGAGAAGUCUCAGAAGCUUCUAAUGCUGUUCAGGGAACAGCGGCAGCAACGGGACCAGCCAUCACUGAAGAGAGAUGAGGAGCCGCCAUCACAGAAGGAAGCUCCCAGGAAGUCUCUGUCGGCACCAAUGUAUGUCCAUGAAUCACCAGCUCAACCUUCAGCUUCAGGUCCGGAAUUUGAACCAAGAGUCUUGUCGAAAUCGAUGUCUAGAAGAAAGUCUUUGGCGAGGCCGUUUAGUUUCUUCUGGAAGAAAAGCUACUCGACUCGCCAGUGAGGGAGGGAGUGAAUGAAUGAUAUGAACAACCUUUGUAUGUAAAGCUUUGUUUUUGUUUUUUCUUCUUACAAGUUACAAAACGUCAUCUCAUAGAGAAGAAGAUAUGUACAGGCCACAAUGUGACUACACUCGAUUUUGCUGCUUUUUUUGGUUAGCCAAAAAGAAGAAUGUAUAUGAAUGAAGUUAAUAAAUAGUAAAAGUAUAAAACAAAACCACAAUGUUAUAGUAUAACAUAACUACAAAAGCCUGUUCCAAAUUAUAUAUAUAACAAUUAAUAUUUUCUUUUGUCAACUACUCAGACUAACUAGACCAAGUUCAAAAUGUUGAAAAUUUUACUUUGUAUGGAUUUUUCUCAAAUUACUCUUGAAUUAGUUAUUAAUAUAAUUUGUGAGAAGUUCCCAAUGUGGAUGUCUUUAUGUUCCUCUGUUUAAUAAAACACACAAAAAUUCACUAAGAGUUAAAUGGUAACUUAAAAAUAUGAUAUUAAGUUAUUAAAUAAUUUACAAAGAGAUGAACAGAAAAGUUAUAGAGGUGGGGGAGUAGGACAACAUAGUCUACUAGUUUGUGUUAGUGUUGUUGUUUUGGAACCGUAUAUGAGAGUUAAAAGACCUCUCAGGUGGUGGUCUCGUAGGAAUCAGAACGAGAGCAUGUGAGCGAAUCAGCGCUUCGACUACUUCUUUUCAUGGGCUUCUGGAUCCAACCGUUCUCAAACAGAUCCAAGAUAGGAUCUCCCUGGUUGCUGCUGCUGCGACCGGUGCUUCCUCCACCAUCUUCACCGCUGCUUCCUCUCUGUAACGCCUCCUUGUAACUCACUCUUUUCCCAUCAUUCUCCAGUUUCAUCUCUUCUUCAGACAUUGAUCCUGUUCUGCUAAAACUGCUAUCCACCGUGAUCUCUUUCUCAUUUGUCCCCUUGUUCUUAUCCCUCCAAUGGCCUAACACGUUCACGAGAGAAUCAACCCAGUAAAGUGCUUGAACCAGGAUCAUGUCCACCCACGCGGCUCUGUUCAUCAUUCUUGGAAGCUUCUCAAGAAACGCGUCGAGUUUUAUAGGGAGAGACUCUGCUGCGGUUAGCAAACCGGAGAUCUUGUGGAAGAAGAAGGUGGUUGAAGGGAAGUAAGCCUCGAUUGCGAGGAUGUGGUCGUCGGCUACGGAGAGGAUUGCGAGAAGGUGGCGACGGAAGGGACUUGUCAUGGAGGCGAAGAAGAGAAGGAGUUGGAAGAGUUUCUGCACGAGGAAGGAGGCUGGAUUGGUCGGAGUCUUGGUUCUUGUGUAAAGGACGCGAGACAUGGAGAGUAUGGUAGCACCACAGGUCUCAAGAGGCCGAGGUCGUGGUAUCUUUCUCGCUGUUUGUUCCUGCCAUAAUCCAUAAUAACAAAAUAAAACAAGAUAGGAUGGCAAGAGAAUUCGAGAAAUGAACAGGGAAAAAGUACAUACCAUCUUAAGAUGAGGAAUGAAUGCUGAUACAAAUUCACAGGAGAAUAGUUCCAGGAAAAUGUUGAGAAUUUUGUUCUUUACGUAUUGGUUUGAGCAUUUUAUAGGAAGCUGCUUUAAACGUUAGGGGGAAAGUGAGCGGUUAAACUCGAUUUCAGCUGGAAGGCUUUUUGAAUUAGCGGUUACGCUUUUUUCUUCUUUCUAUCCCAUCUUCGUAGCUAAAUUACUUCUUUUUUUUUCUUUAUCCGGGCAACGGGCCAAUAGUCUUUUUGAGUAAGAUUUCACUAACAUCUUUUUUUUUUUUUUGAAACCAAAUUUAACUAACAUUUCUACAUCAAUAUUUCUAUACCAGGAAAUUUAUGUUUCUAUUAACCUCAUAUCUUUAUAAAAUGUUUUGUGGUGUUAGAAGUAGAAAUUUUGAAAUUAAAAACUCUAUUAAUCAUCGAAUUUGAUACAUUUUUUUUUUGAAUUUGAUAAGUUAACUGAGAAGUUGUGUUCUUUGUAGUGCUGGAAAGCGGGUCAAAUCCACCUCAUUUAACUCACUCCGCAUAAUCGACACAUUGUUGAUCCACACUAGUUCUCUUAAAAAUUAUAGAUAAUUUGCAAGACUUAUGGGUAAUUUUCAUUUUCUAAAAUAAUUAUUUUAAUCAUAUUUAAUUAUUUAUUUCAUAAAUAAUAUUAAUUAUAUAUAUAGUUAGAAUAACAUAAUUAUUGAAGUUUAUGUACUCUUAUUAUAUAAUUUUUUUUCAUUUUUUUUUUCAAUUUACAAGUUGUGGAUACCCACAAUUCAAAUUAAGCCAAUUCACAAUUGUUCUACAAAAAAAAACUUGACCCAUAAAUCAAAUUUCUUAAAUAAGCUCUAUUAAGUUAGGGUGUGUUUGGCUAUUAGUGUAGAUGCUCUUCGCAACCACAAAUACUUAUAGCCCAAAUUUAAAGAUUUUUAAAAAUUAAAAAUCUAAAUACAAAGCAAAAAAAAAUCAUAGUAAUAUUUCUACAGCCAAAAAUGAAAUUACAAUUCUUACCAAUCAAAUCUUUGUUAACAGAUCAAACGAGGCGUAACCUGCAGAUAUUGACUCAAGUUCACAGCCCUAGUCCUUUACGGUUUACACAAUGACCAAAUGUAACAAUUUUUGGCAUUAAAUAUUUAAGGGAUCAACAAUAAAAAUGUUAUUCCUUUAAAUUGAUGGCAAGCAUUAGCUACCACUCCUUUCCAAAUUGUUCUCUUAACAGUACUAAGAAAGAGAAUUUUUACAGUUCCCCAAAGAAAUGGGAAUAUACGUUACCUCUCUCACAAAGUAACAACCAAUUUACAAUAAUGAAGAUAUACUUUAGAGAAACUACAAUAAAGCAAACUAUUACACCAGAAAAGUAAAUAUAUCAUUAAUAGUAUCUGAAAAUUAAAAAAAAUAAUCAAAAUAUACUUUUGAUAACCCUCCAAGGCCUUCUCGCAUCAACAGUUGAACAUCUGUGGAUCGACAAGUCAUUAGCCAUAUUACUAAACCUUGCUUCGAGCCAACAGGGCAAAGAUGAGGCGGUGUCAUCACAAGGCAUGAUCAGCAGUCUAGCAACAGUGCUUGACAUGGGUGACACAACACAGCAAGAGCAAGCUGUUUCAUGUCUUUU
rnacentral:lncRNA from 1 species